AUAAUAUUGUCAUUCUAGUAAACUUUUUGUUUUCUUUGAAUUUUUCCUCAUAAAAUUCUUACCAAGUUACAUCCUUUAGUGUAAAAAAUGGGAGUAUCUACAUUGUUGUGAAUGGAGGAUUAUUCUGAGGUGUAUAUUAGUGUCUGAAUCUAUUAGCAAAUUGCAAGAGAUUGCUAAUGUUUUGGUCAGGUGGGGAACAUGAACUUGGAGAAGAUGUAUGCUGUGUUUUUUAUAACCCAGAGGUAAUAUGCCUGGGUUUCCACAAGGGGUCCUAGGUGGUAGGGAUUUGGAGAAGCAUUUAUAAAAUUAUCUACUAGUUCUGAUACUAGAAAUUUUUAUUUUAUUGUCUGAAAUGUUUGGCUAAUCAAUUUUCUCCUUUCAAAAAUCAAUGUUUAAAAAACUGGGAAGGAAACUAUUUAGUUUUUACAUCAUUCAUUAGCCCUGGGGCAGCAGAAUUUCAGUCCUCCUAUUCAAUUGUUUGAAUUAACCCAAAGACUAUAGCUUCCCUGGCUAGUGCAGUGUGUGUUAUUCCAUGCAAGAAAAAUAAGCUAUGCUGCCAAAAUGCCAGCAGAUUAAGGAAAAGCCAAGAGAGGCAUUGUUUUCACCCAGCCAAAUAUUGGAGCACCUAUAUGUAUAUUUUACCAAUCCACGUAUGACAGAGACAUAUUAUGUGCUCAUAGCGUCCAUGUGGCCUCUGUUAAUUGCUUCUGAAUUUGAAUUUAACUUAUUUCAAAAUAUGAAUAAACUUGUACUGGCAACACAUUCAAAUUGUGAAAACGUCUUGGUUUCUAACAUGAAUACUUCAGAGGCUAAUUAGGGCUACAGAUGACAGGAGGAGGGAGGGGCAAAGGAAGGAAAGGCUAUUCCCAUUUUUGACUCCAUCCCCUUAAAAGUGAUUAUAUAAUGAGAUGU
rnacentral:lncRNA from 1 species